GAUGAACGCUGGCGGCGUGCUUAACACAUGCAAGUCGAACGAAGCACUUUUAAAUCUUCGGAUGAGAAAGUGACUGAGUGGCGGACGGGUGAGUAACGCGUGGGUAACCUACCUUAUACAGGGGGAUAACAGUUAGAAAUGACUGCUAAUACCGCAUAAGCCGAUAGAGUCGCAUGACUUAGUCGGAAAAGAUUUAUCGGUAUAAGAUGGACCCGCGUCUGAUUAGCUAGUUGGUGAGGUAAUGGCUCACCAAGGCAACGAUCAGUAGCCGGCUUGAGAGAGUGAACGGCCACAUUGGGACUGAGACACGGCCCAAACUCCUACGGGAGGCAG
rnacentral:rRNA from 1 species